UACGUAGGGUGCAGGCGUUAAUCGGAAUCAUUGGGCGUAAAGCGCGUGUAGGCGGUUCGGUAAGUCCGCUGUGAAAGUCGGGGGCUCAACCCUCGGAUGCCGGUGGAUACUGUCGGACUAGAGUACGGAAGAGGCGAGUGGAAUUCCUGGUGUAGCGGUGAAAUGCGCAGAUAUCAGGAGGAACACCGAUUGCGAAGGCAGCUCGCUGGGACGUUACUGACGCUGAGACGCGAAAGCGUGGGGAGCAAACAGG
rnacentral:rRNA from 1 species